AUACGUAGGGUGCGAGCGUUGUCCGGAAUUACUGGGCGUAAAGAGCUCGUAGGUGGUUUGUCGCGUCGUCUGUGAAAUUCCGGGGCUUAACUCCGGGCGUGCAGGCGAUACGGGCAUAACUUGAGUACUGUAGGGGAGACUGGAAUUCCUGGUGUAGCGGUGAAAUGCGCUGAUAUCAGGAGGAACACCGGGGUCGAAGGCGGGUUUCUGGGCAGUAACUGACGCUGAGUAUCAAAAGCAUGGGUAACGAACAGGAUUAGAUACCCUAGUAGUCCAUUCCGUAAACGGUGUGUGCUAGGUGUAGGGGUCUGCCACGUCUUCGCUCCCUUAGCUAACCCAUUAAGCGCCCCGCCUGGGGAGUACGGCCGCAAGGCUAAAACUCAAAGGAAUUGACGGG
rnacentral:rRNA from 1 species